rnacentral:rRNA from 1 species
GAUUGAACGCUGGCGGCAGGCCUAACACAUGCAAGUCGAACGCGAAAUCACUUCGGUGAGAGUAGAGUGGCGGACGGGUGAGUAACGCGUGGGAAUCUACCUCGUAGUGGGGGACAACUUGUGGAAACGCAAGCUAAUACCGCAUACGUCCUGAGGGAGAAAGCAGGAGAUCUUCGGACCUUGUGCUAUGAGAUGAGCCCGCGUCGGAUUAGCUAGUUGGUGGGGUAAAGGCCUACCAAGGCGACGAUCCGUAGCUGGUCUGAGAGGAUGAUCAGCCACACUGGAACUGAGGCACGGUCCAGACUCCUACGGGAGGCAGCAGUGGGGAAUAUUGCACAAUGGGCGAAAGCCUGAUGCAGCCAUGCCGCGUGUGUGAAGAAGGCUCUAGGGUUGUAAAGCACUUUCAGCAAGGAGGAAAGGUUGUAAGUUAAUACCUUGCAACUGUGACGUUACUUGCAGAAGAAGCACCGGCUAACUCCGUGCCAGCAGCCGCGGUAAUACGGAGGGUGCAAGCGUUAAUCGGAAUUACUGGGCGUAAAGCGCGCGUAGGCGGUCUGUUAAGCUGGAUGUGAAAGCCCAGGGCUCAACCUUGGAACUGCAUUCAGAACUGGCAGACUAGAGUAUUGGAGAGGUAAGUGGAAUUUCCCGUGUAGCAGUGAAAUGCGUAGAUAUGGGAAGGAACACCAGUGGCGAAGGCGACUUACUGGCCAAAUACUGACGCUGAGGUGCGAAAGCGUGGGGAGCAAACGGGAUUAGAUACCCCGGUAGUCCACGCCGUAAACGAUGUCUAC